AUAAGAUAUCCCGGGUAGCAAUACCCCUGAAGACACCUUGAAGACUACAAGGUUGAUAGGCUCCAAGUGUAAGCACAGUAAUGUGUUCAGCUGAGGAGUACUAAUUAGUCGUGAGGCUUGAUCAC
rnacentral:rRNA from 1 species